CCCUCCCACCAAGGCGCGGGUUGAGCCCACUCCUCAACUAGCUGCCCUGCGCGAGAGACAGCGCGACUCCGAGCUCCAGCAAACCAGUAAAAGAAAUGGAAGCUGAACACAAUAAUAAUCGCAGAAAUGGCGGCAACCGCCAAAACGCGAAGAAGGAGGAGAGAGAAAAAGUCUCUCUUCGCGAGGUGGUGAAGAGAAUGUAUGCUCUAGUAAAGAAUGACGAAAAAGAGAAAGCAAGACGAGAAAAUCAAGAAUGAAGAGAAAAGGAGUAUGCAGAAUGCUACAAAGCAACAUCAAAAAGAGAUUGAAUGAUGCUGAACACUACAAGAACAAUUCUAAGGCCACCCUGUAUUUUUCUCUAUUAGGAACAACUAUUAGGAACAAUUAUUGUAUACAGUUAUUUUCUUACAACCAAUGUACCUUUGGUACCCAAAGCUCAAAACUCUGUAAUCAAUAUAAAAAUUUAUAAGA